rnacentral:rRNA from 1 species
UGGGGAAUUUUGGACAAUGGGCGCAAGCCUGAUCCAGCCAUGCCGCGUGCGGGAAGAAGGCCUUCGGGUUGUAAACCGCUUUUGUCAGGGAAGAAAUCCUUUGAGCUAAUACCUCGGGGGGAUGACGGUACCUGAAGAAUAAGCACCGGCUAACUACGUGCCAGCAGCCGCGGUAAUACGUAGGGUGCGAGCGUUAAUCGGAAUUACUGGGCGCAAAGCGUGCGCAGGCGGUCUUGCAAGACGGAGGUGAAAUCCCCGGGCUCAACCUGGGAGCUGCCUUUGUGACUGCAUAGCUAGAGUACGGUAGAGGGGGAUGGAAUUCCGCGUGUAGCAGUGAAAUGCGUAGAUAUGCGGAGGAACACCGAUGGCGAAGGCAAUCCCCUGGACCUGUACUGACGCUCAUGCACGAAAGCGUGGGGAGCAAACA